rnacentral:rRNA from 1 species
GACGAACGCUGGCGGCGUGCUUAACACAUGCCAGUCGAACGGAAAGGCCCUGCUUUUGUGGGGUGCUCGAGUGGCGAACGGGUGAGUAUCACGUGAGUAACCUGCCCUUGACUUUGGGAUAACUUCAGGAAACUGGGGCUAAUACCGGAUAGGAGCUCCUGCUGCAUGGUGGGGGUUGGAAAGUUUCGGCGGUUGGGGAUGGACGCGCGGCUUAUCAGCUUGUUGGUGGGGUAGUGGCUUACCAAGGCUUUGACGGGUAGCCGGCCUGAGAGGGUGACCGGCCACAUUGGGACUGAGAUACGGCCCAGACUCCUACGGGAGGCAGCAGUGGGGAAUAUUGCACAAUGGGCGGAAGCCUGAUGCAGCAACGCCGCGUGCGGGAUGACGGCCUUCGGGUUGUAAACCGCUUUCGCCUGUGACGAAGCGUGAGUGACGGUAAUGGGUAAAGAAGCACCGGCUAACUACGUG